rnacentral:rRNA from 1 species
CCCUUAGAUGUUCUGGGCCGCACGCGCGCUACACUGAUGCAUUCAGCGAGUCUAAAACCUGCUCUGAUAGGGGUGGGUAAUCUUUUGAAUGUGCAUCGUGAUUGGGAUAGAUGAUUGCAAUUUUUCAUCUUCAACGAGGAAUGCCUAGUAAACGCAAGUCAUCAGCUUGCAUUGAUUACGUCCCUGCCCUUUGUACACACCGCCCGUCGCUCCUACCGAUUGAAUGAUCCGAUGAAUAUCAUGGAUUGAGGAUUAUAGCAGGUUCGCCUGUCUUGAUCUUCGAGAAGUGAAGUAAAUCUUAUCAUUUAGAGGAAGGAGAAGUCGUAACA